CGCCUUAAUAUAUAAUAUAUCAUGUAUUUAAAGCAAUAGAGUACUCAUUUGAUAUAUCAGACUUAGCAUAAUUAUUCAAAAGUCAAAUUUAUAUGAGCCUGUGCCUAAAAAUGGAGGUUUUCCAAUGAAGGGGGGCCUUACAUGAAGAUGUAAUAUUUUCCAGCAAUUUUAAAUUUGUGAAGCUUUUUGAUUAUAAAUAAUCCUUACAUAUGUAUUUAAUGUACUUUAAAUGGAAAGAAAACU
rnacentral:lncRNA from 1 species